rnacentral:rRNA from 1 species
CGAAACCGAUAGCGAACAAGUACCGUGAGGGAAAGUUGAAAAGUACUCUGAAUAGAGAGUUAAAUAGUACGUGAAACCGCUUAGGGGUUAAGCCCGAUGAACCCGAAUAUCUGAUGUGAGAAAUUCAAUACAAUUCAAAUUCAUAUUUUUAUAUUGGAUUUGUAUAGUAUGCACUUUUCUCAUAGUAAGACAUUGUAAUCCAUUGAUAUUAUAUCUCAAUUUCGAGAUGAUUUAACAUACGGACAAAAUGUUUAUGAUUAUUCUAUCAGUGAUAUGUUUACAUGUCAUAUGAAUAAAAUCGUUUUAUACCUGUUUAAAUAGUCGAUGGAUUUUUCAUUGAAAUCAUGCUUGCAAUUUAUUUUGCGUUUCGUAUCAUUAAUUUUUAAUUUUUGAUAGCAGAAAUGGCAUGUAUUCGAUUAACAAUGCGAUAGAUUUGGGAUACUUUCAGGACCCGUCUUGA